GACGUAGGGCGCGAGCGUUGUCCGGAUUUAUUGGGCGUAAAGAGCUCGUAGGCGGUUCAGUAAGUCGGGUGUGAAAACUCUGGGCUCAACCCAGAGACGCCACCCGAUACUGCUGUGACUUGAGUACGGUAGGGGAGUGGGGGAAUUCCUGGUGUAGCGGUGAAAUGCGCAGAUAUCAGGAGGAACACCAGUGGCGAAGGCGCCACUCUGG
rnacentral:rRNA from 1 species